CUGCCAGAGCCCUGCAAAAUGACCUCCAGCAGGCCACAAAUGUGCAUGUGUCAGCAUAUGGUCUCACAAGGGGUCUGAGGAUCUCAUCUCGCUACCUAAUGGCAGUCAGGCUACCUCUGGCGAGCACAUGGAGGGCUGUGUGGCCCCACAAAGAAAUGCCACCCCACACCAUGACUGACCCAUCGCCAAACCGGUCAUGCUGGAGGAUGUUGCAGGCAGCAGAACGUUCUCCACGGCGUCUCCAGACUCUGUCACGUCUGUCACAUGUGCUCAGUGUGAACCUGCUUUCAUCUGUGAAGAGCACAGGGCGCCAGUGGCAAAUUUGCCAAUCUUGGUGUUCUCUGGCAAAUGCCAAACGUCCUGCACGGUGUUGGGCUGUAAGCACAACCCCCACCUGUGGAUGUCGGGCCCUCAUACCACCCUCAUGGAGUCUGUUUCUGACCGUUUGAGCAGACACAUGCACAUUUGUGGCCUGUUGGAGGUCAUUUUGCAGGGCGCUGGCAGUGCACCUCCUUGCAUAAAGGCGGAGGUAGCGGUCCUGCUGCUGGGUUGUUGCCCUCCUACAGCCUCCUCCACGUCUUCUGGUGUACUGGCCUGUCUCCUGGUAGCGCCUGCAUGCUCUGGACACUACGCUGACAGACACAGCAAACCUUUUUGCCACAGUUCGCAUUGAUGGGCCAUCCUGGAUGAACUGCACUACCUGAGCCACUUGUGUGGGUUGUAGACUCCGUCUCAUGCUACCACUAGAGUGAGAGCACCGCCAGCAUUCAAAAGUGACCAAAACAUCAGCCAGGAAGCAUAGGAACUGAGAAGUGGUCUGUGGUCACCACCUGCAGAAUCACUCCUCUUUUGGGGGGUGUCUUGCUAAUUGCCUAUAAUUUCCACCUUUUGUCUAUUCCAUUUGCACAACAGCAUGUGCAAUUUAUUGUCAAUCAGUGUUGCUUCCUAAGUGGACAGUUUGAUUUCACAGAAGUGUGAUUGACUUGGAGUUACAUUGUGUUGUUUAAGUGUUCCCUUUAUUUUUUUGAGCAGUGUAUUAGCCUGUACAUCUUAGCAGGCUGUGGUACUUGACCUUUGACCUAAGUUAGCCUCCAGUAUGACAUCUAGGACUUAAAUGUUUUAUUUGAUGUUGGCUGUUUCCAGGGGUGCAACUUUCACAGCGGAUGAUGCAUUUGUAUUCCCCCCACAGUUGUAUCAUUGGAAUGUGAUACAAAAUAAGUUAACGGUGUGCUUUAGGACCAUGCAGACGCCUCUGAGCAGUCGGGUAGGGUGUUUAUCCGACUGGAUAAAAAAAGUCUCCCCCCACUUCUAAAUCCAAAGUUGCUCCCCUGGCUGUAUGUAAUGACAUACUUUUGCAAUCUAUGUAACUAAAUAUACAACAUUAAACAGAUCCUCAUUUUGCUAAUGGUGUUUUGCAUAACCAAGUAGUUUACUACAGUGCCUUCAGAAAGUAUUCAUACCCCUUGACUUAUUUCAUCUUUUGUGUUACAGCCUGAAUUCAAAAUGGAUUAAAUUGAGUUUCUCACCCAUCUACACACAAUACCCUUUAAUGAUAAAGUGAAAAUAUGUUUUAGAAAUGUUAGCAAAUGUAUUGAAAAUGCAGAUGUCUCUCAUUUACAUAAGUAUUCUCACCCUUGAGUCAAUACAUGUUAGAAUCACCUUUUGACAGCGAUUACAGCUGUAAGUCUAUGAGCUUUGCACACCUGGAUUGUACAACAUUUCCAUAUUCUUUAAAUUCUUCAAGCUCUGUUAAGUUGGUUGUUGAUCAUUGCUAGACAGCCAUUUAAGUCUUGCCAUAGAUUUACAAGCCAAGGGGUGUGAAUACUUUCUGAAGGCACAUCUUCUCAGAGGUUUCUUAACUUUUUUUCUAUUACAAACUCCUUUACUGUAUGUGUAACGUACCAUUAAGUGUAGUGCCUGUAUCAAUCAGCGCAGUAGAAAUGAUACCAAAUGGAUACCAUACCAAUCCAUAAUCUACUACACCUGAGAGUCAAACAAGAGUUGGACCCAAGGAGUAGUGCAUUUCUAAUUGUUAUUUCAAACGAGUUUCAUGUAAAAUAAUUCCCCUGGUGCCUUGGCAGCAGAUAAUGGGGAUCCCUAAUAAAUACAAAUCAGGAAGUGUAAGGUUGAAUGCAGAAGAACUCGUAGGUAUUAGAAGGGAGAAAUUGUAACUCAUUUGGACAGCACUUUAAAUUUGAACGCAAGUGAGGGGAAAUCGGAGUUGCCGUCUAGGCCUAUUUGUGACUAAUACAGACAUAAUCAAAGUUAUUUUUACUGCCCACAGCAACCGUGGUGUACUCACAGGUGUGCUGCUUUUUAAAGGGCAUGGACUCGGCAAGAUGACCAAUUUAUGAGUCCUGACAAAUCAUUGUCUUCAUCCAGCUGUAUUGUAAGCUACUUAGCUGUUUAUUGUUUACGGUUCUUCUAUCAGUUUUAUUAUGCUGUGAUUUCCUCUGAAGUGCAGGGCAUUUAAAGCACUUCUAGCUUCCCUUUGUAAAAAUUUUAAUCAACAUAGUUUUUGUACACAGUAAAGCCUGUUAAAUGAAUUGAUCAGUAGGCUACAAUGCCCUUGGCUUGGACUGUUUCCUCUGUAGUCUCCAGUUUAUUUGGUCUGUGGCCAUUGCAUUUAAAUAGUCAGUCUUACUCGCUUAACUAAGUUAACAAUUAUGGGCAAUUUGCAGAGAGACAGAUAAAAUAGGCCUGUUCAUAUUGUAUUUUAUCAGUGCUUAAGUUAUACAUGUUAUUAGAUAUAUACCUAGUCUAAUUCACAACCAAGGGUCAUUGGUCAGGGUGCCAUUUGUGACAGAGUUACUAUCAUCUAUAUUGUGCACUACUUUUGACCAGGGCUCUUAUGGGUCCUGGUCAAAAGUAGUGCACUAUAUAGGUGAUAGGGUACGAAUUCUAAAUCACCAUAUUGCUUUCAUAUAGCUGUAUUAUUAAUGAAGAAAAUACAAAGGGAGCCAUUGUUUAGUACAGCCCACCUGUUAGGAUCCUUUUUUUUGUACCAAUGACAGUGUAAUGCUGCCCCCCUCUGGCGAUCUAGAGGAACAAUCGUAGAGAUCCUUUUGAAUUUGUGUUCUAUAUGUAGAUCAAUCAGAACAAUCAACUCAAGCAGUUCAGCGAAAUGGCAGGCGAGCUGGCUGGUAAGUUCCCUCUUCUCUUUCUACUAGUAGUGAAACAUAUUACCAUUUGGAUCAUCAAAGACUAAAAUAAAUCUAUGGGUGUACAUCUGAAACAACCAUCCAAACAUAAGGUUAUAGAGAGAUAUAGGAUGCCACAUCAAAAAAAAAAGGCGCUGUCAACAAGUGCAAUUUUAGUGGUUUAUUGAAUGUAACAAAGACGCUUAGUGUUUGACAUGAUAGAAAGCAAAGACAACCCAAGGUUUAGUCUGGGUACCAGUCUUCUUAGCUAACACUCUAUGCGGAAUGUAAUAGCUGAACAGAGACAGCAACCAGGUUAUGCAAGUCCUGCCUCUGACUCAAAACACACUGAUGUCAUUCCUCUUCUCUCCGCUCCAUCUAGUGAAAACCUCACGAGGUUCAUCCUUUCUCCAAAUAUAGGGAGAGAAAGGGAGCUGUGCUCCUCCCUAGCAGAGACGUUAAAGGUCAAUUGAAUUCAAUGGCACUAUUUUCCUUGCUUGUUUUCAAAGUAGCAGAAACUAAAGUACAAUCUCAACCUCCAAUAGAAGCCAUGUGUCCUUACAACACCAAUGACACACAGUAAAAAAAAAAUAUCAAGAUAAGCAAGAAAUGGCACCAUUUUGAGGAGUGGAGAGGGACUGAAUGGGUUAUAGCAGUAGAGUAGAUCCCUCAUGUUUCUAGUGGAAGGAGGGUGUUGGUUUGAAAAGAGUAAAGACCAGAGGAGAAGGGCUCUAUUUAAGCCGUAUCAUUGAAGUUGAGCGUUACAUCUUGAAUUAAAUUUAAAGUCGAUGUUCCCGCUUUAAGGCGUCCGCAUGCUUCCCAGCCAAAAUAGUUUGGAAGAGUUUCUGCAUAUUUUAUGACGCCUUUUGUGCUGUUUUGGACUUUGUUGAGUUUUUAGAGGGGCUGUUCAGGCAUGCUCUUAACCACUAGGCUAUCUGUCACCCAGAAUGAAUAGAGCGCCAAGACAUUCUUCCUAUCCACACAUACCUCGGGGUACAAAGUGACAAUCCAAACAGACAGACUGCUUCUCAAGAACUGAUUGGUACCCAAAUCACCAAUAUUGUCACUAAGUAGUUGUUUGAUGAUGGGAAAGAAAAAUAAAUUGUGAAAUUAGAAUGACAUCAGAUGUAGGAUAAGAUAAAGAACCCACAGUAUACUGUAUCACUGAUGGGGCUGCUCUACCAGAAACAUGAAGGUCCCACAGUAUGCUGUAUCACUGAUGGGGCUGCUCUACCAGAAACAUGAAGGUCCCACAGUAUACUGUAUCACUGAUGGGGCUGCUCUACCAGAAACAUGAAGGUCCCACAGUAUGCUGUAUCACUGAUGGGGCUGCUCUACCAGAAACAUGAAGGUCCCACAGUAUGCUGUAUCACUGAUGGGGCUGCUCUACCAGAAACAUGAAGGUCCCACAGUAUGCUGUAUCACUGAUGGGGCUGCUCUACCAGAAACAUGAAGGUCCCACAGUAUACUGUAUCACUGAUGGGGCUGCUCUACCAGAAACAUGAAGGUCCCACAGUAUGCUGUAUCACUGAUGGGGCUGCUCUACCAGAAACAUGAAGGUCCCACAGUAUGCUGUAUCACUGAUGGGGCUGCUCUACCAGAAACAUGAAGGUCCCACAGUAUGCUGUAUCACUGAUGGGGCUGCUCUACCAGAAACAUGAAGGUCCCACAGUAUGCUGUAUCACUGAUGGGGCUGCUCUACCAGAAACAUGAAGGUCCCACAGUAUGCUGUAUCACUGAUGGGGCUGCUCUACCAGAAACAUGAAGGUCCCACAGUAUGCUGUAUCACUGAUGGGGCUGCUCUACCAGAAACAUGAAGGUCCCACAGUAUGCUGUAUCACUGAUGGGGCUGCUCUACCAGAAACAGAUGAAGGGGGAUAGAGGUUUGCAAAAUUCCAGUCACUCCCCAAAUUCCCAGGUUUUCUAGAAAUCUCGGUUGGGAGUUUACUGGAUUUCCUGCUUUUUCCCUCCUGAUUCCGGGAAUCUUCCAACCAGUAUUUUAGAAAAACCUGGGAAUUUUGGCAAAGUUACUGGAAUUGUGCAACUCUAAUGGGGAUAAAAAAUAUCCAGCAGAUCAAAGGUCAAAAGGAAACAUCUCCACAUGGACUCCCACAAGUUGUUCCUCAUAUUGUUUAAUACAAGGAUGACGUCAUCAGUAUAGACAAGUAUAAAGGCCUCAUUGGAGAAAAUUGGACAUUCAUUGGGUCAUAACAUCUGAUUUUUGCCAGGGUUGGUGGGAUGGCUUCAUAGAACACCAAAUCAGUCUCUAUCUAUGACAUGGACUGACUGCAGGGGGUCAUCUAAAAGAACAUGUCGGGGGAUGCCUUGCCACAAGUGCAAGCAACUGCUUGAUAUUCAAACCAAAUGUGUGGAAAAAGCAGGUGAACUAGAAAGAAUGAAGAAUACAGUGAUGGGAAAGAAAACGAAUUGUCCACCCCUUGGAUGAUUGUAAUAGGUCUCAGUCAGCUAUGUACAUCCGAAUACAUGUUUAUUUAUAGAUACUUCUCUCUAAUAUAUUAAUGUACAAAAUAUAGAAUCUAAAAUAUCUGAUAGGGUUUGGUGUUUGAGUCAAAAUACAAAAUGUCAAAUACAAAAAAGCUUUUCGUUGACAUCCUCGGUUGAAAGUGUCGUCAGUUAAAGCGUGUGUGUCUGUUAUGUGCAUGUAUGUGUGGCUAGCGUAUGUCUGUGUUUCUGUGUGUGUUUUUGCCCCUGUGUUUGCAUGAUGUGUGUGUGUGUUGUGUAGAGCUCUGUAAACUCACACUGAACAGAGCAGUCUCACUGGUCGUUCAAGUAGCCAGCCAGGUUAACACGGCCCACCAAGGCUCCCUACUAGAGAUGAAACACACUGCUCCUUCCUAUCUGACCAACUCCAGUAAAGGGUUUGAUAGUGCUGCUGUGCUGGCUGGCAAUAUUAGUACAUAGUGUACCAAUGGUUUGGAGAAUUGCAAUAUCUGUACCACUCAAGUGUACAAAGACAGCAUACAUGGACUGUAUGAACAAAAAACACUUUUUUCCACAUAUACUGUGUACAUAUACAGUACCAAUCAAAAGUGUGAACACAACUACUCAUUCAAGGGUUUUUCUUUAUUUUUACUAUUUUCUACAUUGUAGAAUAAUAGUGAAGACAUCAAAACUAUGAAAUAACACAUGGAACCAGAAAAGUGUUAAAAUCAUAACAUAUUUUAUGUUUUGAGAUUCUUCAAAGUAGGCCCCCUUUUGCCUUGACAGCUUUGCGCACUCUUGGCAUUCUCUCAACCAGCUUCAUGAGGUAGUCACCUGGAAUGCAUUUCAAUUAACAGGUGUGCCUCGUUAAAAGUGAAUUUGUGGAAUUUCUUUCCUCCUUAAUGCGUCUGAGCCAAUCAGUUGUGUUGUGACAAGGUAGGGGUGGUAUACAGAAGAUAGCCCUAUUUGGUAAAAGACCAAGUCCAUACCAUGGCAAGAACAGCUCAAAUAAGCAAAGAGAAACGACAGUCAAUCAUUACUUUAAGACAUGGUCAGUCAAUAUGGAAAAUCUCAAGAACUUUGGACAUUUCUUCAAGUGCAGUUGUAAAAACCAUUAAGCACUAUGAUGAAACUGGCUCUCAUGAGCACCGCCACAGGAAAGGAAGACCCAGAGUUAUCUCUGCUGCGGAGGAUAAGUUCAUUAGAGUUACCAGCCUCAGAAAUCGACAAUUAACUGCACCUCAAAGAGUUCAAGUAACAGACACAUCUCAACAUCAACUGUUCAGAGGAGUCAGGCCUUCAUGGUUGAAUUGCUGCAAAGAAACCACUACUAAAGGACACCAAUAAUAAUAAGAAACAUAAGCAAUGGGCAUUAGACCGGUGGAAAUCUGUCCUUUGGUCUGAUGAGUCCAAAUUUGAGAUUUUUGGUUCCAACCGCCGUGUCUUUGUGAGAUGUUCUCAGCAUGUGUGGUUCCUAUUUAUGUAGAAUUCAAGGCACACUUAACCAACAUGGCUACCACAGCAUUCUGCAGCGAUAUGCCAUCCCAUCUGGUUUGCGCUUAGUGUGACUAUCAUUUGUUUUUCAACAGGACAAUGACCCAACACCUCCAGGCUGUGUAAAGGCUAUUUUACCAAGAAGGAGACUGAUGGAGUACUGCAUCAGAUGACCUGACCUCCACAAUCACCCGACCUCAACCCAAAUGAGAUGGUUUGGGAUGAGUUGGACUGCAGAGUGAAGGAAAAGCAGCCAACAAGUGCUCAGCAUAUGUGGGAACCCCUUCAAGGCUGUUGGAAAAGGAUUCCUUGUGAAGGUGGUUGAGAGAAUGCCAAGAGUGUGCAAAGUUGUCAUCAAGGCAAAGAGUGGCUACUUUGAAGAAUCUAAAAUAUAUUUUGAUUAACAAUUUUUUGAUUACGACAUGAUUCCCUUUGUGUUAUUUCAUAGUUUUGAUCUCUUCACUAUUAUUGUAAAAUGUAGAAAAUAGUAAAAAUGAAGCAACUCUUGAAUGAGUAGGUGUGUCAACUUUUGACUGUUACUGUAUAUACAGUGCAUUCAGAAAGUAUUACGACCCCUUGACUUUUUACACAUUUUGUUACGUUACAGACUUAUUCUAAAAUGGGAUUCAAUAGUUUUUUCCCCUCAUCAAUCUACACACAAUAAGCCAUAAGAACCAAGCAAAAAGCAGGUUUGAUUUUUUUCUUUUUUUAUGGGAAUAUCACAUUUACAUAAGUAUUCCGACCCUUUUGCUCAGUACUUUGUUGAAGCACCUUUGACAGCGAUUACAGCCUCAAGUCUUCUUGGGUAUGACGCUACAAACUUGGCACACAUAUUUGGGGAGUUUCUCCCAUUUUUCUCAGCAGAUCAUCUCAAGCUCUGUCAGGUUGGAUGGGGAGCGUCGCUACACAGCUAUUUUCAGGUCUCCAGAGAUGUUUGAUCAGGUUCAAGUCCGUGCUCUGGCUGGGCCACUCAAGGACAUUCGGAGACUUGUCCCAAAGCCACUCCUUGGCUGUGUGCUUAAUGUCAUUGUCCUGUUAAAAGGUGAACCUUCGCCCCAGUCUGAGGUCCUGAGCGCUCUGGACCAGGUUUUCAUCAAGGAUCUCUCUGUACUUUGCUCCGGUCAUCUUUCCCUUCGAUCCUGAAUAGUCUCCCAGUCACUGCCGCUGAAAAACAUUGCCACAGCAUGAUGCUGCCACCACCAUGCUUCACCGUAGGGAUGGUGUUGGCCAGGUGAUGAGCGGUGCCUGGUUUCCUCCAGACGUGAUGCUUGGCAUUCAGGCCGAAGAGUUCAAUCUUGGUUUCAUCAGACCAAAGAAUGUUUUUUCUCAUGGUCUGAGAGUCCUUUAGGUGCCUUUUGACAGCCCGCUUGGAGUUUGACAUGUGUUUUCUGUCUGUCCACUCUACCAUGAAGGCCUGAUUUGUGGAGUGCUGCAGAGAUGGUUGUCCUUCUGAAAGGUUCUCCCAUAUCUACAGAGGAACUCUGGAGCUCUGUCAGUGACCAUCGGGUUCUUGGUCAUCUCCCUGACCAAGGCCCUUCUACCCCAAUUGCUCAGUUUGGCUGGGCGGCCAGCUCUAGGAAGAGUUUUGGUGGUUCCAAACUUCUUCCAUUUAAAAAUGAUGGAGGCCACAGUGUUCUUGGGGACCUUCAAUGCUGCAGAAAUGUUUUGGUACCCUUCCCCAGAUCUGUGCCUCGACACAAUCCUGUCUCGGAGCUCUACGGACAAUUCCUUCAACAUCAUGGCUUAGGUUUUGCUCUGACAUGCACUGUCAACUGGGGGACCUUAUAUAGACAGGUGUGUGCCUUUUCAAAUCAUGUCCAAUCAAUUGAAUUUACCACAGGUGGACUCCAAGUUGAAAAACAUCUCAAGGAUGAUCAAUGGAAACAGAAUUUACCUGAUCUCAAGGGUCUGAAUACUUAUGUAAAUAAGGUAUGUCCGUUUUUUUAUUUUGAAUAAAUUUGCAAACAUUUCUAAAAACCUGGUUUCGCUUUGUCGUUAUGGGGUAUUAUGUGUAGACUAAUGAGGACAUUUUUUAUUUAAUCCAUUUUAGAAAAAGUCUAACAUAAUAAAAUGUGGAAAACGUGAAGGGGCCUGAAUACUUUCCGAAUGUUUUAUGUGUAUAUAUGGGUUUCAGUGUCUUCAUGCAGGUUUUGUUUAGAGCGACUUGGCUCUUUCAGCAGAAUGUCUAAGAACACACACAGUGGAUCGAUUUCCUCAGAAAACCUUAGAGAUCUACAGUACUGCAAGAUGAUUGGCUCUUAGCCAUUCCUUAACUCACACUAUGACCUAUAGAAAUAAGACUGUGAGAGAAUGCUGCUGUCACAAUGUGUCUCUGUCUGCUGUAGUCUGAUGGGAUUUCUUUGGUCUCUUCAGCGAACUCAGGCCCUCUGAGCUCCUCCCUGUCUCUUUACCCCAAUCCGAGAGGAGGCUGGGUGGGGUCUCCUUCACUCUGGUCCAAUCGGAGGCUGACCUCUGCAGGUAGGGAGGAGAUAAACCUAGGACAAGGGGUGUUGAUGGGGGGCAGUCAGUUCCCCAAGCAAACACAUGUCCAUGAGCCUGCUCGUCAAAGACUUGGGGGGGGUCAGCCCCUUUUAGUCCAAUACCCCCUCUCCUCUCAGCCUUUUCCUGCACCAGUGUCAGUCUGUUACUGGGGCUGCUUCUGAAUAGGCUGUGUCUGAAAUGGCACCCUAUUUCCUAUAUAGUGCACUACUUUAGAACAGAGCCCUGUGUCCCUGGUCAAAAGUAGUGUAAUAUACAGGGAAUAGGUUUCCAUUUGGGACACAGCCUGGUGUUAACUGCUGGGAGGUCCUCCAGUGAGGAAGUAGGUCUGCAUUUCUCCUUUACCCUUCACCUUGACCAGGCCUCGGCACUCUAGUGUGUAGUUAUAGGAGUUCAGUACGUUGUACAGGUCUGAGGUCACCUGGCGGGAGAAAGGCCAGAGAGGAAAAGAAAGGUGGGAAAGUAAGUAGUCAUGAAGUCACACAGAGGAUAGCAGUGUUCACAUAUCUUAAUCAUAAGCACACUGCCUGUCAUUUCACACUGCCAAAUUAUAAUAUUCUAAAAGAUCGACACAAGGUUAAAAAAGAGUGCACACUGUAAGCUAUGCUUCCAUGUGCUUUACAAUGUUUCCACCCUUAGGUCUUCAUCAUAGUUAUAAUAAAGUCACAAUAGAAAUC